rnacentral:misc_RNA from 1 species
GAUGAAGAACGUAGCGAAAUGCGAUAAGUAAUGUGAAUUGCAGAAUUCAGUGAAUCAUCGAAUCUUUGAACGCACAUUGCGCCCGCCAGUAUUCUGGCGGGCAUGCCUGUUCGUGCGUCAUUUCAACCAUCAAGCCCUGCUUGCGUUGGGGUCCUGCGGCUGCCCGCAGGCCCUGAAAACCAGUGGCGGGCUCGCUAGUCACACCGAGCGCAGUAAUACAUCUCGCUUUGGGCGUGCGGCGGGUUCUUGCCGUUAAACACCCCCUUUUUACCAAGGUUGACCUCGGAUCAGGUAGGAAUACCCGCUGAACUUAAGCAUAUCAAUAAGCGGAGGA